GAAUCAGUUGAUGAGAGGAAAACUGCGACAGUAUGAUGGAUUCAUUUCAUGAUUCUCUGUACUUAAGUCUCUGAUGAUU
rfam:Morus notabilis contig5772, whole genome shotgun sequence.